rnacentral:rRNA from 1 species
GGGGAAUUUUGGACAAUGGGGGAAACCCUGAUCCAGCCAUGCCGCGUGCAGGAUGAAGGCCUUCGGGUUGUAAACUGCUUUUGUACGGAACGAAAAGGUCUUUUCUAAUAAAGAAGGCUCAUGACGGUACCGUAAGAAUAAGCACCGGCUAACUACGUGCCAGCAGCCGCGGUAAUACGUAGGGUGCAAGCGUUAAUCGGAAUUACUGGGCGUAAAGCGUGCGCAGGCGGUUAUAUAAGACAGAUGUGAAAUCCCCGGGCUCAACCUGGGAACUGCAUUAGUGACUGUAUAGCUAGAGUGCGGCAGAGGGGGAUGGAAUUCCGCGUGUAGCAGUGAAAUGCGUAGAUAUGCGGAGGAACACCGAUGGCGAAGGCAAUCCCCUGGGCCUGCACUGACGCUCAUGCACGAAAGCGUGGGGAGCAAACA